GGGGGUGUACAGGUUUCGACGGCGCGGCGCGCGGAUCGAAAAGCACGUGGCAGGGUCGGCUGCCUUAAAAACGCAAAACUUCUAAAUGCAAAAACCAAUACGGCGUCCUACGCUGUAGCUGCGUAAUUUACUCGCGGCCGUUCCGUACUUUGCGGACUGUCGACAAAGAACGGAGCGUCAUCAAAGACAGUCAACGGCUAUGAGCCUUUAUCCGAACUCAUAGCGGCAUAAGGAUACGACGGGCUUGUUUAUUCCGUUUGUCGCUCGCAAGCCCCGGUCUUUUUGCGGCAAACUAAACGUGUAGAAAGCGACCCGUAAACCACGUCGGAAAGGAGUUCGAUUCUCCUCACCUCCACCA
rnacentral:tmRNA from 1 species